rnacentral:rRNA from 1 species
CUGCGGAAGGAUCAUUAUAGAGAGCUUCGGCUCCCUGAAUGCUAUUACCACAAUGAUGUUUCAAUCCAUGUUGCUUCCACCUCCUUCAUGGUGGUGGAGGGUUUUUUCAUACUAUUCUUUUUGCUUAGAUUUUUUAUCUGUCUGAAUAUGAGGGAAAAUAUUACAAAACUUUCAACAACGGAUCUCUUGGCUCCUGCAUCGAUGAAGAACGCAGCGAAAUGCGAUAAUUAAUGUGAAUUGCAGAAUUCCGUGAAUCAUCGAGUCUUUGAACGCACAUUGCGCCUCAUGGCAUUCCGUGAGGCAUGCCCAUCUCAGCGUUAGUAAAUAUCAUCAAAUUUUGACAUUAUGUUAAUAUUUGGAUCAUGUCAAGGAAGCGAUUUCCAUUUAUAUGGAUAGCUCCUUGGAAAUUCAUAGGUAGUAUAGUUGCUAUCAUUAGAACGUGAUGAAAAUUCCUUCGUUCAAAUGGAGUUUACUUGUAUGGCCCUGAAACCAUAUAUACCAUUUUGGUAUUUUGUCAAUUUGACCUGAGAUUGGGUAGGGAUACCCGCUGAACUUAAGCAUAUCAAUAAGGCGGAGGA